CAAUAAAUCUUGUCAUAGAUCUCUUGACAUGCUACCGUUUGCUUGAUUAUAUUUUUGUGUGUUACCCUUUCAGUUCUAACAUUAUGAUAUUCCUUGGUUGGAUUGGUGGUCUUUGUCACAUGACAGGCAGUUGAUGUUUAAAAAGAUUAUAUACAUGAUGAUGAGUUAUUCUGUCUUCUAUGAAAUUUGAUGUUUAUUGCAUUACUUUAUUAUAACACAGAAUGAGGAAUGCUAUACAACAUGUAGAAUUGACGAAGAACUGGAUGUCAUCUAACAAUUGGCACUAGAAUUAUGUAUCAUUCUCUGCUUUUGCUCCUAGUGGCUAUCCCUCAGAUGGUUAAGUGGCUCAUGGUUUAAAUCACAAUUGAUACAAGAUUGUCUACAAUCAUUUCCUUGUGAUAUCUGACCUGAGAAGUGGUUAAGAGUAUGUGUGGCUAUCGAUGCUGUAGACUUCAGUAUUUACCCCGAUUAUCUCCACUAGAUAUUACAUAUUCAUAUUCAGACAUUUUAUUUCUCGAGAUACCGAUUUAUUCUUUAGAUUUUCAUUGUAAAUUUAAACCUUUU